UACGUAGGGGGCAAGCGUUGUCCGGAUUUAUUGGGCGUAAAGAGCGUGUAGGCGGCUAGAUAGGUCCGUUGUGAAAACUCGAGGCUCAACCUCGAGACGUCGAUGGAAACCAUCUGGCUAGAGUCCGGAAGAGGAGAGUGGAAUUCCUGGUGUAGCGGUGAAAUGCGUAGAUAUCAGGAAGAACACCCGUGGCGAAGGCGGUUCUCUGGGACGGUACUGACGCUGAGACGCGAAAGCGUGGGGAGCGAACAGG
rnacentral:rRNA from 1 species